rnacentral:ncRNA from 2 species
GACAGUCUUCAGGGCAGGGUGUAAUUCCCGACCGGCGGUGACAGGUUAACCGAUUUGCAAAGAUCUACUUGAUGCAAGCUGAUAGUUUGUGGAAAAGUGGGUUGAUGAGAAUGGGGAGAUUUGAAGUCCGUGAGCGAAAGCUGAUGUGGUGAGAUUCCACAACCGACAGUAAAGUCUGGAUGGGAGAAGACCGGA